AACGAACGCUGGCGGCAUGCCUAACACAUGCAAGUCGAACGAGACCUUCGGGUCUUGUGGCGCACGGCUGCGUACCGCGUGGGAACUUGCCCUUAGGUUCGGUAUACCUCCCCGUAAGGGAUGCUCAUACAGGUUAAUGUCUUCGGGCAUAAGAUGUAUUGCCUUUGGAUGGGCCCGCGUUGGAUUCGCUAGUUGGUAGGGUAAAAGCCUACCAACGCGACGAUCCAUGGCUGGUCUGUGAGGAGGAUCAGCCACACUGGGACUGAGACACGGCCCAGACUCCGACGGAGGGGAGCAGUAGGUAGUAUUGGACAAUGGGCGAAAGCCUAAUCCAGCAAUGCCGGGUGAGAGAGGAAGGCCUUAGGAUUGUAAAGCUCUUUUACCCGGGAUGAGAAUGACGGUACCGGGAGAAGAAGCUCCGGCUAACUCCGUG
rnacentral:rRNA from 1 species